GAAAACUCUAUCAUAUAUCUCAAUCAAUAACACUUUCUCGUAGUGGAGUGUUCUUGGUAUUUUUAUCAGAGGACUCGAUUUUUAGCUUGUAUCUUUUUCUUGUAGGAGGUGAUUCUUUAUUGUUGGUUUUUUUUUAUAUCUUUUAUUGUUUUAUUCCUUCUAAAUUGUUUGGAUGCCUUUUUUUAGUUGAUUUUAAUAUUAUCAUCUCAGUAUUUCUUGUCAUAUAAUAUAACCCAAC
rnacentral:lncRNA from 1 species